GGUGCUGUAGCUCAGUGGUAGAGCACUCACCUGGCACGUGGGAGGCCCUGGGUUCAAUCCUCAGCACCACAU
rnacentral:tRNA from 1 species